CCCGGAGCGCAGCGGGAACUCCUGCUGUGCUCUGGGGGCUUCAGGCAGCUAUCCGCAAGCCUUCGGAGCGCAGCAGGAGUUCCCGCUGCGUUCCGAA